ACGUAAUAGAUACCCUGGUAGUCCACGCCCUAAACGAUGUCUACUAGUUGUUGGUGGAGUAAAAUCCAUGAGUAAACGCAGCUAACGCGUGAAGUAGACCGCCUGGGGAGUACGGUCGCAAGAUUAAAACUCAAAUGAAUUGACGGGGGCCCGCACAAGCGGUGGAUUAUGUGGAUUAAUUCGAUGCAACGCGAAAACCUUACCUGGCCUUGACAUGUAACGAACUUUCCAGAGAUGGAUUGGUGCUCGAAAGAGAACGUUAACACAGGUGCUGCAUGGCUGUCGUCAGCUCGUGUCGUGAGAUGUUGGGUUAAGUCCCGCAACGAGCGCAACCCUUGCCAUUAAUUGCCAUCAUUUAGUUGGGCACUUUAAUGGGACUGCCGGUGACAACCGGAGGAAGUGGGGAUGACGUCAAGUCCUCAUGGCCCUUAUGGCCAGGGCUUCACACGUAAUACAAUGGUCGGUACAGAGGGUUGCCAACCCGCGAGGGGAGCCAAUCCCAGAAAGCCGAUCGUAGUCCGGA
rnacentral:rRNA from 1 species